CCUGGUAAUAGGAAGAAGUUACUUCUGGAACAUGGGAAGCAGUGAUUUGAUACCAUUAAAACCUGGCUUCUCACAAUUUUGUCCUCAUGGUGAUCUAUCCUGUUGCUUCAGGAAAAACAUAUUGAAUAAGGAGAGUUUUCAUCACCAAUCUGGUGCCAGAGAAAGAUGAUAAAACAAAUUUACCUUACAUGUAUGACUGCUGGAUGGGGAACAACUGAACCUCAUAAUGGAGUUUCGUACUUGCAUUCUUGCC